GACCCAGGGCGGCCCCGGCCCGCUCCCCUCUCCUCCGGCGGGCCCCUCCCCUCCCUCCCUCCGCCGCCGGUCAGAUCCGGGCGGCUCGAGGGGAGGGGGCUCCGGACGGGGCCAGAUCCAGGCGGUGGCCGCGGAUCGAGGGGAAGGGUCCUGGCGGCGGCGCGCCCCUGCCCCUCCCCCACCCCUCUCCGGCGGAUCCGGCGGUGCCGACCCUCCCCUCACCGGAUCCGGCGGCCGUGGGCCUCGGCGGCUGGAGCGCGUCGGCGGCGUAGACGAGGCAGGACAGUUCGUCCACCUCCAGCACCGCCGGCGACGGGUUACAGGUACCCCUACUACUCCGAGCUGGGUUCGGUCGCCGACGGCGUCAUGAUGGUCGACGCGACAACUUUUGGAAUGUCGCCGACAACUUCUGGGUGCUGGCGGUGGUGGCUGCCGUGGCGGCCGGUGGUGGCGGCCGGUGGUGGCGGAGCUGGCGGUGGUGGCGGAGCUGGCGGCCGGUGGUGGCGGCGGCGGCGUAAC
rnacentral:lncRNA from 1 species